rnacentral:rRNA from 1 species
UACGUAGGGUGCAAGCGUUGUCCGGAAUUAUUGGGCGUAAAGAGCUCGUAGGUGGUUUGUUGCGUCGGCUGUGAAAUCCCGAGGCUCAACCUCGGGUCUGCAGUCGAUACGAGCAAACUAGAGUGUUGCAGGGGAGACUGGAAUUCCUGGUGUAGCGGUGUAAUGCGCAGAUAUCAGGAGGAACACCGGUGGCGAAGGCGGGUCUCUGGGCAACAACUGACGCUGAGGAGCGAAAGCGUGGGGAGCGAACAGG